UUGCGGUCCGGACAGAGCAAAAAAAACAAGGCAUCAGUAUUGUUGAGUAUUAGCUUGUACCUGGUUCGGAGGCUAAGUUUGUCGGAGAAGGCAGGGGUGAGCCCCCGGUGGCUGCCCGGCUGUACUCCAGCGCCGGUGUUUGGACCAAGACAAAGGCGGGAGCUGUCCGCGGUGCUGAACCUGCUGCUCGCCGCGGGGGCCAAAUGGCUCCGGAGCCAGCCUUCCCCUCAUUUAUCCGCUUCCUUCUCUCUCCCCUUCACUCUGGGACUCUUGCCUUCCUCUGCGUUUAUUUUGCUUUUUUUUUUUUUUUGGUGAUGAAGGGGGUGCGGGGAGCUCUCCUCAGAACAUGCAUCUUGUACACAGGUAUACAUAUACAUGUAUAUCAAAGAACAAAACCAUUGAUUAAAACGACGGUGUCUUCUCAAAUAAUUUUUGGAAGGUUUGUUUUUAACUACAUCCUAAAACAGAUGAAAAGAGCUCAUUUUCACCUCUAAAGAAAUGGAAAUUACAAAACAAUAGAAUUAAAAAGCAUAACGAAU